UACGUAGGUGGCAAGCGUUGUCCGGAAUCAUUGGGCGUAAAGCGCGUGUAGGCGGUCCGGUAAGUCCGCUGUGAAAGUCGGGGGCUUAACCCUCGGAUGCCGGUGGAUACUGUCGGGCUUGGGUCGCUCAGGGGCAGACGGAACAGGCGGUGGAGCGGUGAAAUGCGUAGAUAUCGCCUGGAACGCCGAAGGUGAAAACAGUCUGCUGGGGGCGUACCGACGCUGAGACACGAAAGCCAGGGGAGCGAACGGG
rnacentral:rRNA from 1 species